GUGAACGCUGGCGGUAGGCCUAACACAUGCAAGUCGAACGGCAGCACAGUAAGAGCUUGCUCUUACGGGUGGCGAGUGGCGGACGGGUGAGGAAUACAUCGGAAUCUACUUUUUCGUGGGGGAUAACGUAGGGAAACUUACGCUAAUACCGCAUACGACCUACGGGUGAAAGCAGGGGAUCUUCGGACCUUGCGCGAUUGAAUGAGCCGAUGUCGGAUUAGCUAGUUGGCGGGGUAAAGGCCCACCAAGGCGACGAUCCGUAGCUGGUCUGAGAGGAUGAUCAGCCACACUGGAACUGAGACACGGUCCAGACUCCUACGGGAGGCAGCAGUGGGGAAUAUUGGACAAUGGGCGCAAGCCUGAUCCAGCCAUACCGCGUGAGUGAAGAAGGCCUUCGGGUUGUAAAGCCCUUUUGUUGGGAAAGAAAAGCAGCAGGUUAAUACCCCGCUGUUCUGACGGUACCCAAAGAAUAAGCACCGGCUAACUUCGUG
rnacentral:rRNA from 1 species